rnacentral:lncRNA from 10 species
CUGGCCACCAGCUCCCAUCACGACGCUACCUAGGGGCCCCAGCUAUAGUCGACUCAUUAGCAUGUGGAAGAUACUCAUCACUCCGGAAGGGUUUUAGGAGCUCUAUGUCAGGAACCAGGAACAAAGACCAAAUAUUUGUUUUUUAUUACAUCACAAUGCCACAUCCACAGAUCUUCUUUCCCUGACACAGAGAUUUGCUGGCUAAGCUAUUCAAUUUCAUCUAUUCUUGCAGACUUCGUUGUCUCAUUGUUAUGACAAACUGGAGCCAAAUUUAAAAAAUGUUUAAACCACAUUUAGAAGGUAGGAAGCUGGACUCCAUGGUGAACAGCAUUAACAAGUACCACAAGUUUCGAGUGACAGAAGCAUAUCAGCUAUGGAAGCAGAUGGAACAAAAUAAUGUUAAAGGGCC